ACAUUGAAACCUUAAAGGAGCACAAACCAAAAGUUAUCUGGGAUGAGCAAAUUGCUGAACACUACUUCGAAUACAAAAAAAAUAAAGGAGGAAAACAUGCUGUCUUCUAUCCAACGUUGAAGUCCAUCCAGCUGCGCUUAGAGCUUGCAAAAGAAUUGGGCACUGGGAUAUCCAUCUGGGAGCUGGGACAAGGCCUGGAUUAUUUUUAUGACCUGCUUUAAAUCGGAGAUGGUCUGCAAAAGACUUUAUUUGCUUCACCAAGACUCUGCCUUCAAUUAAUUUGGGUAUUCUGGGCAGGUGAUUUUUUAAUAAUUAGAACUUUUUUUUGUAAUUUAUAUCAUAUGUGUAUUAAACUUCUCUUUUUUCUGCAAUAAAUUACCUUUUCUGAUUUACUAUAUAAACAUGAUGGUUAACAUCUGAUAAAAUCCAGAGAUAAAACACAGAAGAUCUUCUUAAAGUUGCUGAAUUUGCAGUCAUUGAAAAUGGAACAGCACAAGUAGGAUGGCAUGGGAGCAGAAUUCAGAGGGUUUUUUUUUUUUUUGAAUAUUUUGUACAAAAAAUUACCGAGAAGUUACUACAAUCUGAACACAGUUUAAUUCUGAGGUCUCUUGAAACAAUUCCUGGUAACUGAACAAAUACGCUCAUCAGAUUAUGUCCAGCAAAUGUAAUAUAUGAUGGAUUCUCUACAUUACUUUAACAACAAAAGACAGAAAGUAAGCCUAAAAUAAAGACGGGGGGACCAACUGGAUGUCUUUCCUUCUGGCUGGCAGAGAGUUAAAUGUGGACAAGCUAUGCAGUUAGCUUUGUCCUUUAUUUUAAUAAAUGCCAUGUAGUUCAAAAUCACAGUAAUUUCAAUUCAUGACUUGUUUCUAAUUCCCCUUUUUGCACGCAGGAAGCACCCCAUGAUUUCUGUCGUGCUUAGUGCCUCAGUUUAUAAUACUAGUGCAUUAUGCAUUAGUCUGUCAUAAUGCUAACUUUUAGCACCAGAGGCUGCAGUGGAAAUUGUACGUAUGCAUGUAGUAAUGGAUUACGUGCAUUGUCCCAAUGCUCAGAGCCCCAGAGCUGACCACCUUUUGGCUUAAAGGGGUGCUGUGAAUCAAAAUCUUUCCAAGUAAAGCUCUUAUUCAUUUACCAUACACAUUGGCACUUCAACCUCCAUAAUACACAAUUUUUAUUAACCGAAAGCUAUAUCAAUCCAUGAGCUUAUAAACAAAGUUCUCAAACCAUUCUGAAAUCUUCCCUGUUUUUCACUUUACAAGCUUUGGGCUUGUAGAAAUAUAUGGGCCUCAAAGCAGUUUUUCGGAAGGAACAAGGGGAGAUGCUGUGAAUUUGAUGAGGAAGUUGCUGGUCAUCAGCCGAGAUGCAGGCAGGCAAUAGCUCUGCACACCCUCUGGUCUCUUCUUGCCACUUAAGAGUUGUCACACAGAUAACCACACUCCUCUCUUUGUGUCCACACUUUAUGGUAAUUAAUCUCCAUGGGGAAUUUAUCCAUCCCAGCCAGUUUCAGCAGACUAAAUCCUGCUGUAAUCCAGCACUGAUUAAAGAACUAUUGAUCUUCACCUCUCUUUAGUCUGGCAUCUCUCAACUUCUCAUACUGCAAGUAUCCAGCAGGGUUUACUAAUCAAGCUUUUUCUUCUGUACCGUUAGUGCUAAGAUAAUUUGCUAUGUGAUUCCUCAUGUUCAAUUAACUUGAGCUUUCUAGUUCAUUCGAAAGCAAUUUAAAGUCACUCAGGCAAUGGUAUCUAGACUAGCACAAGAAAUAAAUUCUAUUAUGCUAUUUCUACUGAACCAGAAUGUUUCAGAAAAAAAAAAGGUCAGUAAAAAUGCAAGGUUGUGCUCUGAAAUUACGUCUGCUUUUAUGUCAUCUAAUAACUAGAAAUAUAAAAAUUGUGAAGUUGGGAGGGGGAGAAAGGGUGUUUCAUUUUAGCUUGUUCUUUCCUCUCUAAUUUAUCCCAUGUUUUGAAUAAUUU